rnacentral:lncRNA from 1 species
CAAGACCACCCCCAAGAAAGAAAUGCAAAAAAGAAAAAUGGCUGUCUGAGGAGGCCUUACAAAUAGCUGUAAAAAGAAGAGAAGCAAAAAGCAAAGGAGAAAAGGAAAGAUAUACCCAUUUGAAUGCAGAGUUUCAAAGAAUAGCAAGGAGAGAUAAGAAAGCCUUCCUCAGGGAUCAGUGCAAAGAAUAGAGGAUAACAGUAGAAUGGGAAAGACUAUAGAUCUCUUCAAAAUAAUUAGAGAUACCAAGAGAAAUGUUUCAUGCAAAGAUGGGCACAAUAAAGGACAGAAAUGGUAUGGACCUAACAGAAGCAGAAGCUAUUAAGAAGAGGUGGCAAGAAUACACAGAAGAACUAUACCAAAAAAAUCUUCAUGACCCAGAUGAUCAUGAUGGUGUCAUCACUCAGCUAGAGGCAGACAUCCUGGAAUGCGAAGUCAAGUGGACCUUAAGAAGCAUCACCAUAAACAAAGCUAGUGGAGGAUAUGGAAUUCUAGUUGAGCUAUUUCAAAUCCUAAAAGAUGAUGCUGUGAAAGUGCUGCACUCAACAUGCCAGCAAAUUUGGAAAACUCAGCAGUGGCCACAGCACUGGAAAAGGUCCGUUUUCAUUCCAAUCCCAAAGAAAGCCAAUGCCAAAAAAUGCUUAAACUACUGUACAAUUGCACUCGUCUCACACAAUAGUAAAGUAACGCUCACAAUUCUCCAAGCCAGUCCUCAACAGUACAUGACCAUGAACUUCCAGAUGUUCAAGUUGAUUUUAGAAAAGACAGAGAAACCAGAGAUCAAGUUGUCAACAUCUGUUGGAUCAUCAAAAAAGCAAGAGAGUUCCGGAAAAACAUCUAUUUCUGCUUUACUGACUAUGCCAAAGCCUUUGACUGUGUGGACCAUAACAAACUGUGGAAAAUUCUUAAGAGUUGGGAAUACCAGACCACCUGACCUGCUUUUUGAGAAAUCUGUAUUCAGGUCAGGAAGCAACAGUUAGAACUGGACAUGGAACAACGGACUGCUUCCAAAUAGGAAAAGGAGUGCAUCAAGUAUAGGAAAAG